rnacentral:rRNA from 1 species
CCGAGAAUAUUCCGCAAUGGGCGAAAGCCUGACGGAGCGACGCCGCGUGAAGGAUGAAGGCCUUUGGGUCGUAAACUUCUUUUAUGAGGGAGGAAAUUUUGACGUUACCUCAUGAAUAAGGAGCUCCUAAUUCCGUGCCAGCAGGAGCGGUCAUACGGAAGCUCCAAGCGUUACCCGGAAUCACUGGGCGUAAAGGGUGUGUAGGUUGUUUUGUUAGUCUUCUGUUAAAGACUGGGGCUCAACUCCAGGAGUGCGGGAGAAACGGCAAAACUAGAGAGUGAGAGAGGUGUACGGAACUCACGGUGUAGGAGUGAAAUCCGUUGAUAUCGUGGGGAACACCAAAGGCGAAGGCAGUACACUGGCUCAUUUCUGACACUGAGACACGAAAGCGUGGGUAGCG